AUGUCCGAGUCCAAGAACGGCCCCGAGUAUGCUUCGUUUUUCGUCGUCAUGGGAGCCUCGGCCGCCAUGGUCUUCAGCGCCCCGCGCGCUGCCUAUGGCACGGUCAAGACCGGUGCCGGCAUCGUGGCCAUGUCUGUCAUGCGGCCGGAGCUGAUCAUGAAGUCCAUCAUCCCGGUGGUCACGGCUGGCAUCAUCGCCAUCUAUGGCCUGGUGGUGACAGUCCUCAUCGCCAACUCCCCGAAUGACGACAUCAGCCUCUACAUGAGCUGCCUCCAGCUAGCGCCGGCCUGAGCGUGGGCCUGAGCGGCCUGGCAGCCGGCUUUGCCAUAGACAUCGUGGGGGACGCCGGUGUGCGAGCCAUGGCCCAGCAGCCCCGACUAUUCAUGGGCAUGAUCCUGAUCCUCAUCUUCCCCGAGGUGCUCGGCCUGUACUGUCUCGUCGUCGCCCUCAUCCUCUCCACAGAGUAGCCCCUCUCCGAGCCCACCAGCCACCGAAUAUGAUGUAAAAACCACCCCUCCUCAUUCCAGAACGAAGAGCCUGACACACACGCAUGGGGCCGCGGCCCCCGGUAGUUGAUCUUGUACAUGCGCAGCGCAGCGUCCUAGUGCCGGUUGUCUGUUGCCCUGGCCUUGCCCCCACCCCACCCCCCACGCCGCCCCGUGCCAUGGACAUCUGGGUCCACUUAUCGCCCCUCCAGGCCCCUGGUGCCCCACCCCCUAGAGUGCUCUGUGUAUUCGGAUGACUUAGAGUUGUCAUUUCUCUUCACUGGAUGUUUAUUUAUAAAGAUCUGGCCUGUUCCCGCGUCUGCGGAGAGGCCCUGGUCUCCCAGCUAUCUAUAACCUUAGCUAAAGUGUGGCCUUGUGGGCUCCUGUUGCUGAGACCUCCUGGAUGGAGCUGCCCUCGCCACCGGGCCCUUGGCCCUGCACGGAGCUCUGUCCAAUAAAGUUCUCGGAUUUGGGGG